CCUACGGGGGGCAGCAGUGGGGAAUAUUGCGCAAUGGGCGAAAGCCUGACGCAGCGACGCCGCGUGAGGGAUGAAGGUCUUCGGAUCGUAAACCUCUGUCAGCAGGGAAGAACGGUCACUGUGCUAAUCAGCAGUGAAUUGACGGUACCUGCAAAGGAAGCACCGGCUAACUCCGUGCCAGCAGCCGCGGUAAUACGGAGGGUGCGAGCGUUAAUCGGAAUUACUGGGCGUAAAGCGCUCGUAGGCGGUAUGUCAAGUCAAGGGUGAAAUUCCCGCGCUCAACGUGGGAACUGCCUUUGAAACUGGCAGACUGGAGUGUGUGAGAGGAUGGUGGAAUUCCAGGUGUAGGAGUGAAAUCCGUAGAUAUCUGGAGGAACAUCGGUGGCGAAGGCGACUAUCUGGCACAUAACUGACGCUGAGGAGCGAAAGCGUGGGUAGCAAACAGGAUUAGAUACCCGAGUAGUC
rnacentral:rRNA from 1 species